rnacentral:rRNA from 1 species
GAGUUGAUCAUGGCUCAGGAUGAACGCUAGCUACAGGCUUAACACAUGCAAGUCGAGGGGUAGCAGGGUAGCAAUGCCGCUGACGACCGGCGCACGGGUGAGUAACACGUAUCCAACCUUCCCAUAACUCAGGGAUAGCCUUUCGAAAGAAAGAUUAAUACCUGAUAGUACUUUUUCAAGGCAUCUUGAAAAAGUUAAAGAUUUAUUGGUUAUGGAUGGGGAUGCGUUCCAUUAGAUAGUUGGUGAGGUAACGGCUCACCAAGUCUUCGAUGGAUAGGGGUCUGAGAGGAAGGUCCCCCACAUUGGUACUGAGACACGGACCAAACUCCUACGGGAGGCAGCAGUGAGGAAUAUUGGUCAAUGGGCGAGAGCCUGAACCAGCCAAGUAGCGUGAAGGAAUGAAGGUCCUAUGGAUUGUAAACUUCUUUUAUAGUAGAAUAAAGUGAGCCACGUGUGGUUUUUUGUAUGUAUACUAUGAAUAAGGAUCGGCUAACUCCGUGCCAGCCGCAGC